rnacentral:rRNA from 1 species
UACGGGAGGCAGCAGUGGGGAAUAUUGCACAAUGGGCGCAAGCCUGAUGCAGCCAUGCCGCGUGUAUGAAGAAGGCCUUCGGGUUGUAAAGUACUUUCAGUCGUGAGGAAGGUGUUAAGGUUAAUAACCUUAGCAAUUGACGUUAGCGACAGAAGAAGCACCGGCUAACUCCGUGCCAGCAGCCGCGGUAAUACGGAGGGUGCGAGCGUUAAUCGGAAUUACUGGGCGUAAAGGGCACGCAGGCGGUUAAUUAAGUUGGAUGUGAAAUCCCCGGGCUUAACCUGGGAAUGGCAUUCAAGACUGGUUAGCUAGAGUCUUGUAGAGGGGGUUAGAAUUCCAUGUGUAGCGGUGAAAUGCGUAGAGAUGUGGAGGAAUACCGGUGGCGAAGGCGGCCCCUGGACAAAGGCUGACGCUCAUGUGCGAAAGCGUGGGGAGCAAACAGGGAUUAGAUACC